rnacentral:tRNA from 1 species
GGAGGAUUAGCUCAGUUGGGAGAGCGUCUGCCUUACAAGACGAGGGUCACAGGUUCGAGACCUGUAUCCUCCA